rnacentral:tRNA from 1 species
UCCCUGGUGGUCCAGUGACCAAGACUCUGCACUUUCAAUUGCAGGGGUCCUAGGUUCGAUUCCUGGUCAGCAAA